GACGAACGCUGGCGGCGUGCCUAAUACAUGCAAGUAGGACGCAGUUGCGAACGGGUGAGCAACGCGUAGGUAACUGCCUAUUAGUGGGGGAUAACUAUUGGACACGAUAGCUAAUACCGCAUACUAGUAGAUGGACCUGCGUUGUAUUAGCUAGGAGGGCGGGUAAUGGGCUACCUAGGCGACGAUACAUAGCCGGCCCUGGGGGGAGGUCGGCCACACUGGGAAUUAUGAACGGGCCAGACGUCUAAGGGAAGCAGCAGGAGGGGAUCUUCGGCAAUGGGGGGAACCCUGACCGGGCAACGCCGGGGGAUAGGAGAAGGUUUUCGGGUCGUAAAGCUCUGUUGUUAAGGGAGCGGUACUUAACCAGAAAGCGACGGCUAACUACGUGCCAGCAGCCGCGGUAAUUC
rnacentral:rRNA from 1 species